ACACAAUCUCACUUUGUCCUCGGAUGUUCAUCAUGUGAUCUUUUAUCAACGCAACUGUGGCGGGGCCCUUGCUAACUUGCUUCCGCGUGAACCUGUGCUUGCCUAUGUGUGGUAAAGCGGAAACACUGUGAACACUUCUGACCUUGUCUUUUCAAUUUUAGGCAGGUGACAACGCUGAAUUGGUCCUCAGGAGCGAAUUGGUCCUCAGGAGCGGAUGUUCAAGGAACCCUGCCUAUGCACCAUGCUAGCUGCCAGUCCUAGGUUGGGACAUUCCACUGGGGACAUCCAUGGGAGAGCUAUGGCCAUUAACAAGUCCUGAGCCCUGACCUGAAGCCAUCAGUGGCCUAGCUGCUCUACCUGACUUUGUGGCCUCCCUUCCUGGAUCUCUCGCUUACGACAACCGACAACAAAGAUGUUUGACUCCAGAAGAUGCUCCCCGCGGCCCACCUGAGAGGACUGUCCACACCCCACCCCACUGCGCCCUGUGCCAUCUACCUCUGAGUCCCCAACUUCUCACCCAUGUUUCAACUCCCACCCCAGAGCCUUGUAUUCCAGAUCUGAGCAGCCCUUGCUUAGGAACCUGAGGUGGGGGGUGGGUAGGCAGACCCAGGGGACUGAGCAGGGAGGGGAAGGAGGGGUUUCUGCUCUUGGCUUUCAAAGUUCUCAGUGUGUGUAGCCCUUUGAAUAAUAAACAUAUGUCAUAUAAUGUAAA
ensembl:lincRNA Mirg miRNA containing gene